GAUGAACGCUGGCGGCGUGCCUAAUACAUGCAAGUCGAGCGAAUGGAUUAAGAGCUUGCUCUUAUGAAGUUAGCGGCGGACGGGUGAGUAACACGUGGGUAACCUGCCCAUAAGACUGGGAUAACUCCGGGAAACCGGGGCUAAUACCGGAUAACAUUUUGAACCGCAUGGUUCGAAAUUGAAAGGCGGCUUCGGCUGUCACUUAUGGAUGGACCCGCGUCGCAUUAUCUAGUUGGGGAGGUAACGGCUCACCAAGGAAACGAUGCGUAGCCGACCUGAGAGGGUGAUCGGCCACACUGGGACUGAGACACGGCCCAGACUCCUACGGGAGGCAGCAGUAGGGAAUCUUCCGCAAUGGACGAAAGUCUGACGGAGCAACGCCGCGUGAGUGAUGAGGGCUUUCGGGUCGUAAAACUCUGUUGUUAGGGAAGAACAAGUGCUAGUUGAAUAAGCUGGCACCUUGACGGUACCUAACCAGAAAGCACCGGCUAACUACGUGCCAGCAGCCGCAGUAA
rnacentral:rRNA from 1 species